ensembl:lncRNA
CAGGAAGCAGUGGGCUGGACCUCCCUGGGUUCUUGUCUCUGGCUGUGUGAGGGAGCCUGGGGCCUCCCAGGCCCCUGACAAAGGCUCCUGGGUGGUGGGGGGAACGCUGAGGGUUUCAAUGGGCUCCUUACCAAGCUGGUGAGAGGCAGACGCUCUACCUUCUGAGCCACCAGGGAAGCCCUGUGAUGGGGAAGCAGAUGGCAAAGCACACUGGUACCUCCGAGGCCCACCUUUCCUAGGUGAGCCAAGCAAGACUCAGAGAGGAAAUGUUGAUGGAAACUGCACAGAAGUUCCCCUGUGGGCACCGGAAAGAGGAAGCUCAUCACGGGACAGGCACAUGACGGGGGGAUCUGCCUGACCCAGGGAUCAAACUCGAGUCUUCUGCACUGCUAGGCAGAUUCUUUACUGCUGAGCCUUGCCACUCUGCAAAGCACAUGGAUCAUCAGGGCACUGGGGACUGUGCCAUGGGCAUCAGUGUCGGCCAGGGGAUGGGCCAAGACCCACCAGCCCAGGGACCAAGGAUCAGAAGGAUGAUCUGGACCUGGCCACGGGCAACUUCUGCACCUGCCUCCAACCUGCUGUGUGACUAAUGGCAAC